AUUCCUAUUGAACUGAUUCCAAACGGUAAGCCGUAUAUAUACAAAACCGCAGCUCAAGAGGAAAAACAUAAAACAAAAUCAAUAUGAUUUACCAUAAAGUGCUGGCAUCGUAAAAACAUAUAUAAGUUUUAAUGUAUGUAAAACCGAAAGCCAUUAAUAAAGAGUGAAAUUUCAAUUCACAUAGGAAAACAUGGCUUAAAAAAAAUAA
rnacentral:lncRNA from 1 species